rnacentral:rRNA from 1 species
GGACCAGACUCCUACGGGAGGCAGCAGUGAGGAAUAUUGGUCAAUGGGCGGGAGCCUGAACCAGCCAAGUCGCGUGAGGGAAGACGGUCCUACGGAUUGUAAACCUCUUUUGUCGGGGAGCAAAAGACGCCACGCGUGGCGUUCCGAGAGUACCCGAAGAAAAAGCAUCGGCUAACUCCGUGCCAGCAGCCGCGGUAAUACGGAGGAUGCGAGCGUUAUCCGGAUUUAUUGGGUUUAAAGGGUGCGUAGGCGGACUGGAAAGUCAGCGGUAAAAUCGAGAGGCUCAACCUCUUUCCGCCGUUGAAACUGUCGGUCUUGAGUGGGCGAGAAGUAUGCGGAAUGCGUGGUGUAGCGGUGAAAUGCAUAGAUAUCACGCAGAACUCCGAUUGCGAAGGCAGCAUACCGGCGCCCGACUGACGCUGAAGCACGAAAGCGUGGGUAUCGAACAGGAUUAGAUACCCGCGUAA